UUACUGCUAUCGGUGUUCGCCUAAGCCAUGCGAGUCAUAUGUUCUUCGUGAACAUGGCGUACUGCUCAGUAACACGUGGAUAACCUGCCCUUGGGUCCGGCAUAACCCCGGGAAACUGGGGAUAAUUCCGGAUAACGCAUAUAUGCUGGAAUGCUUUAUGCGUAAAAUGGAUUCGUCUGCCCAAGGAUGGGUCUGCGGCCUAUCAGGUAGUAGUGGGUGUAAUGUACCUACUAGCCAACAACGGGUACGGGUUGUGAGAGCAAGAGCCCGGAGAUGGAUUCUGAGACAUGAAUCCAGGCCCUACGGGGCGCAGCAGGCGCGAAAACUUUACAAUGCGGGAAACCGUGAUAAGGGGACACCGAGUGCCAGCAUCAUAUGCUGGCUGUCCGGGUGUGUAAAAUACACCUGUUAGCAAGGGCCGGGCAAGACCGGUGCCAGCCGCCGCGGUAACACCGGCGGCCCGAGUGGUGAUCGUGAUUAUUGGGUCUAAAGGGUCCGUAGCCGGUUUGGUCAGUCCUCCGGGAAAUCUGAUAGCUCAACUAUUAGGCUUUCGGGGGAUACUGCCAGGCUUGGAACCGGGAGAGGUAAGAGGUACUACAGGGGUAGGAGUGAAAUCUUGUAAUCCCUGUGGGACCACCUGUGGCGAAGGCGUCUUACCAGAACGGGUUCGACGGUGAGGGACGAAAGCUGGGGGCACGAACCGGAUUAGAUACCCGGGUAGUCCCAGCCGUAAACGAUGCUCGCUAGGUGUCAGGCAUGGCGCGACCGUGUCUGGUGCCGCAGGGAAGCCGUGAAGCGAGCCACCUGGGAAGUACGGCCGCAAGGCUGAAACUUAAAGGAAUUGGCGGGGGAGCACAACAACGGGUGGAGCUGCGUUUA
rnacentral:rRNA from 1 species